rnacentral:sRNA from 1 species
UGGUUCCGUAUCAAUAACCUAUUAUUGA